rnacentral:rRNA from 1 species
GCUAGUUGGUGAGGUAACGGCUCACCAAGGCAAUGACGGGUACCGGGACUGAGAGGUUGAUCCGGCGCAUUGGGACUGAGACACUGCCCAGACUCCUACGGGAGGCUGCAGUAACGAAUAUUGGGCAAUGGGCGCAAGCCUGACCCAGCGAUGCCGCGUGUGGGAAGAAGUCUUUCGGGAUGUAAACCACUGUCAGGGGUUACCAAGUGACGAGGGCUAAUACCCUUCGAAGUUGAGGAACUCCAAAGGAAGCCACGGCUAACUUCGUGCCAGCAGCCGCGGUAAGACGAAGGUGGCUAGCGUUGUUCGGAAUUACUGGGCUUAAAGAGCACGUAGGCGGACUGUCAAGCGUCUUGUGAAAGCCCUCGGCUCAACCGAGGAAUUGCUCGGCGAACUGUCAGUCUUGAGGCAAUCAGGGGCACACAGAACUCUUGGUGGAGCGGUGAUAUGCGUAGAUAUCAAGAGGAAUGCCGGUGGCGAAGGCGGUGUGCUGGGAUUGUCCUGACGCUGAGGUGCGAAAGCCAGGGGAGCGAACGGGAUUAGAUACCCCGGUAGUCCUGGCCCUAAACGAUGUCCACUAGGCUGAAGGCUCUCUGACGGGUUUUCGGCCGCAAUGAAAACGUUAAGUGGAC